GGUGGAUUUAAAUUAGAUCGGUUUAAGGUUUUAAGACUUUAUUGUCAUUGCACAAUCAUACUUAGUACAAAAGCACAAUGAAAUUGAAGAGUUUCGAAAUAACUGGGGUCACAACUUGUAAUUGUCUGGUUUGUUGCUGAUAAUAACGUAGGAACAUUAAUUCUCUUCCUCUUGUGUUACAGGUAUACUCACUCAGGGAGGAGGUAUGUUUGACACUUUCGUGUCCAGUUUUUACCUGCAGUUCAGCAACGAUGGUGACCACUGGUCCGCUUAUAAGGAGUUGGUUACUGAUGCGCGUCCUAAAGCCAAGGUGUUCCUGGGUAACCAUGACGACCGUGGGACAGUGCCUGUACGAUUGGACAGGAUGGUGUCAGCACGUUUUGUGCGUGUGCUGCCUCACGACUUCCAGAACGGCAUUUACCUCAGAGUGGAGCUCAUGGGCUGUGGGUCAGAUCAUAAGUGGUUGUCUACUCCCGCACCCUCAAUACCCGUAACCCCACUGUGCCGGCAGACAGAGUUCCGCUGUGGAAAUGGCCGCUGUGUCCCUGCAGGACCCCUGGGUGUGAUAUGCAAUGGCAUCAAUGACUGCGGUGACGGCUCGGAUGAGCACCACUGCGGGACUCAGCCAACGCCUUCACAAAGUCCUCACGGCUGUCCCAGAGGCCAGUUCUCCUGUCCACAACCAGGGGGCUGUGUCGAUGCCAUGCUGCGAUGUGACGGGGUUCCCCAGUGUCCUGACGGAGACGACGAGAGGGGCUGCUCUACAGAUGCACAUAUGACCCCCACUCCUGUACCACUCAGAACACCCGGCGUGGCUGCAGUCACAGUUUCUUUAACAACUAAGGAAAGUGGACCAGGAUACACAGGCGCUUGCACCUCUGCACUCGGUCUGGAGGAUGGCAGUAUUCACUAUGGGCAGCUCACCUCCUCCACCCACCGGGAGAAUAAUCCAGCCGACGCUGGCCGCCUCAACAUAGUGCCCAACGUUCCAGUGAUGGAACCUGGUUGGAGCCCGUUACCCAGCGACCUGCAGCCCUACUUCCAGGUGGACUUUUUAGAGCCCACGUGGGUGUCAGGCGUGGUGACGCAGGGGGGUGAGCACAUGUCGGGCUAUCUCUCCAAGUACCGCCUGGCCUUCUCCAUGUCCGAGAACCACUUCACGGACUUGAAAGAAAAUGGCCAGAGGGGCUCGUCUGCAAAGGUAUUCGAGGUGCAGAUGGUGGGCAGAAUACCAGUCACCCGCUGGCUGGGCCGGCUGGUGCGGGCGCGUUUCCUCCGCAUCAUCCCUGUGGAGUACCGCCACACCUUCUACCUGCGGGUGGAGAUCUUGGGCUGUCAUGGGGACGAACUGGUCACUCCCAGUAGCCCGACCACAGCAUGGAGGUGCGAGAAGGGCCAGUUCGCCUGCUCCAGCGGGGAGUGCGUCUCCGCUACGGUCCUGUGCGACUCUCACCCUGACUGCUUGGACCACUCUGAUGAGCAGGGCUGCGGCACAGCUAGCAUCACAGGCUCUCCUGGGCUGCAGAAUCACUCCACACCAACAGGAGGCCCAGGGUUCCACACCAGAACUCCACAGGAAGGUCAGCCGGGAGUGGCAACUUCAUCCACACUUCCAACAGGAUCUCCAGGCAUCGUCCCAGUCUCUGGACCCACUGGAGAACCAGGGAUUCGGCCAGUAACCCCCACAGGCAGACCAGGCCUCCGCUCCUCAACUCCCCAGUCCGGAGGUCCGGGCUUGAAGAACACAACAGGCCUCGUGGUCACCACUACACCCCGUGAUGAUGGAUUACCCAGAAUCCUGUGCGUCGAGGGCCAGUUCACCUGCAGAGUGUUUGGGUGUGUAGAUGCAGCAGAGGUCUGCGAUGGGAAAGAGGACUGCAUCGAUGGCUCAGAUGAAGAUCUCUGUGUCCUCCGCCUCCUCCGCUGCCUACUCCCUGCUCAGCCAAGCAGUUCUCCUGCACCAGUGGAGAGUGUGUCCACCUGGACAAAAAGUGUGACCUCCACAGGGACUGUGCGGAUGGCUCAGACGAGAUCGACUGCGUGGACUGCGUGCUGUCCGGCUGGACCCAGUGGAGCAGCUGCAGUGUGACGUGUGGCCUGGGCUCACUCUUCCGGCAGAGGGAAGUCCUGAGGGAGGCCAGGCCAGGGGGCGUGUGUGGUGGGGCGCAGUUUGAUAGCAGGGCGUGCUUCCUCCAGGCCUGUCCAGGUCAGUCUAUCUCAGCUUCACAUGAGUUGCAGAAUCAAAUUUACUUAAAAAUUAGUUGCUCCAGAUGCUCCAAAAUCCA
ensembl:lncRNA